rnacentral:rRNA from 1 species
GACGAACGCUGGCGGCACGCUUAACACAUGCGAGUCGAACGAGAGAAGAGAAGCUUGCUUUUCUGAUCUAGUGGCGGACGGGUGAGUAACACGUGAGCAAUCUGCCUUUCAGAGGGGGAUACCGAUUGGAAACGAUCGUUAAUACCGCAUAACAUAAUUGAACCGCAUGAUUUGAUUAUCAAAGAUUUAUCGCUGAAAGAUGAGCUCGCGUCUGAUUAGCUAGUUGGUAAGGUAACGGCUUACCAAGGCGACGAUCAGUAGCCGGACUGAGAGGUUGAUCGGCCACAUUGGGACUGAGACACGGCCCAGACUCCUACGGGAGGCAGCAGUGGGGAAUAUUGCACAAUGGAGGAAACUCUGAUGCAGCGAUGCCGCGUGAGGGAAGAAGGUUUUAGGAUUGUAAACCUCUGUCUUCAGGGACGAAAAAAGACGGUACCUGAGGAGGAAGCUCCGGCUAACUACGUG